rnacentral:rRNA from 1 species
AUUGAACGCUGGCGGCAUGCCUAACACAUGCAAGUCGAACGGCAGCACGGGAGCUUGCUCCUGGUGGCGAGUGGCGGACGGGUGAGUAAUGCAUAGGAAUCUGCCCAGUAGCGGGGGACAACUUGGGGAAACUCAAGCUAAUACCGCAUGCGCCCUACGGGGGAAAGCGGGGGACCUUCGGGCCUCGCACUAUUGGAUGAGCCUAUGUCAGAUUAGCUUGUUGGUGGGGUAACGGGCCUACCAAGGCGACGAUCUGUAGCUGGUCUGAGAGGACGAUCAGCCACACUGGGACUGAGACACGGCCCAGACUCCUACGGGAGG